AGCGAACGCUGGCGGCAGGCCUAACACAUGCAAGUCGAACGAACCCUUCGUGGUUAGUGGCGGUCGCGUGAGGAACACGUGGGAACGUGCCGUUAGGCUCGGAAUAAUUCAGGUAAGCGUGUGCUAAUGCCGAAUGAGCCCUUCGGGGGAAAGAUUUAUCGCCUUUAGAGCGGCCCGCGUCGGUUUAGCUAGGUGGGUGAGGUAAUGGCUCACCAAGGCGACGAUCAGUAGCUGGUCUGGGAGGAUGAUCAGCCACAUUGGGACUGGGACACGGCCCAAACUCCGGCGGGAGGCAGCAGGGGGGAAUCUGGCGUAAUGGGCGAAAGCCUGACGCCGCCAGGCCGCGAGAAUGAUUAGGGUCUUAGGAAUGUAAAAUUCUUUCACCGGCGACGAUAAUGACGGAACCCAGGGAAGAAGCCCCGGCUAACUUCGU
rnacentral:rRNA from 1 species